GACGAACGCUGGCGGCGUGCUUAACACAUGCAAGUCGAGCGGUAAGGCCUUUCGGGGUCCACGAGCGGCGAACGGGUGAGUAACACGCGGGUGAUCUGCCCUGCACUUCGGGAUAAGCCUGGGAAACUGGGUCUAAUACCGGAUAUGACCUCCUAUCGCAUGGUGGGUGGUGGAAAGAUUUAUCGGUGCAGGAUGGGCCCGCGGCCUAUCAGCUUGUUGGUGGGGUAAUGGCCUACCAAGGCGACGACGGGUAGCCGACCUGAGAGGGUGACCGGCCACACUGGGACUGAGACACGGCCCAGACUCCUACGGGAGGCAGCAGUGGGGAAUAUUGCACAAUGGGCGAAAGCCUGAUGCAGCGACGCCGCGUGAGGGAUGACGGCCUUCGGGUUGUAAACCUCUUUCAGCAGGGACGAAGCGCAAGUGACGGUACCUGCAGAAGAAGCACCGGCUAACUACGUG
rnacentral:rRNA from 1 species